rnacentral:miRNA from 12 species
AUAUAUAGAUAUAGAGAUAUGUGUGUGUGUGUGUGUGUGUGUAUAUAUAUAUACACACAAACAUACACAAAAAAAUGCACAAAACUA